UGCGUCGGUCAACGCUACUGUUCACAUGGUUGACCGACGUGAAUAGUGUACAAAAAAUAAAGCUGACAGUUUUAAAACGACGCUAAAAAAUAUUAAUUAGCGUCAUUUAGUAAAAUGACGCUACAAAAGAAACUGACGAAAAUUAAAACAAGAAAAAAUUAAAAUAGGAAACCUUAUUCUCGUCGGUUCAAAGAUAUAGAAUAAAAGUUGUGUGAGCUACGCAAAAGUGAAAUCCUAAGGUUAAUAACUGACGAAAAAUAUAUAUUUAAAUCCCUAAAUAGCCAAAUAUCAAUCCCAUUGUUCAUAUAAUCAUCUUCAACCUUUGCGAAGACGACUCUGAUGAUUUGGGCAUCUUCAAUCCUCCAUUGUCGACCGCUCUCGAUCUCAAAACCUCUCUUUCCUCAAAUCUAACUGUUUAUCAGGUAUCUCUAUCUCACACACACAUAUACAUACAUAUAUAUAUAUAUUUAAAUAUUUCAUUUCCUUUACACUACUGGUCGUAGUUGUUGCCUCUUUUUAUUUUUUGGGUAUGAUUUUUAGUAGUAACAUUUUAGUGAUAGUUCCAGCAAAAGAAAAAAAAAAUAAUUGAGUUAAGAGCUUCAAGAUGAUAGAUUUUAAUGGAGGGUUCGGGCUUCGUAGCAAUAGAGUUUGGUAGACUACAAGAUUUGCAACAGAGUUUGGUAGACUACAAAAUUUAUUGAAGGGUCUUUGAAUGAGGGAAGGGUAUAUUAAUUAUUUUACUUAUGCUUUAAGGGUUUUUUUUUGUCUUUUGUAUUAGAUUUUUGUGUAUAUAUAUUAUUACUUUAUAAAUGUAAAUCAAGCUCUUUCAAAACACCCAUUGUCAAAAGACUCUGUUCAACUAAAUCAUUCAUCACAACCAUUUGAAGAUUUCUAAGGUUUCACUCUCAAAGUUUUCAUUCUUUGACAGGUUCUUCUAUCUUAAUUUACUUUUCUUUCUUAUAUUGCUAUUUGUGUCAUGCCACACCCAUUGAAUUUAAUUAUAAUAAUUUGAUAAAAAUAUGUCAGUGUGUACAUAUUUGAAAGAUGAAAUCAUGUUGGGGUUCAUUAUAGUUGGAGAGGUAUUAAUCUUUAUUUUUGAGCUUCUUCCUGUGCACCCUCUAAUCCCUCUCUUCUCUUCACGAUAGUUUGUUUCUUUUUGUUUUUCUUUUCAAUUUUAAUCAUUUUUUUAGUAUUAUCAUUUGAAGCAAAUCAAAAUGGACAUACAGUUGUGCUUUUGUGUGUUUGUUAUAGAUCUGAAAUAAGUACUGUUCACAACAGAUUUUUGUUUUUUUAAGCUACGAAAAGAGUAUAUAUAGUUAUACAUAUGAAAAAAUUUACAAGAUAAUAUUAAUGUGUUUUUGAAGAAACAAUCUAAAGGAAAAGGCCAAGUUAUUUUAUUGCUUGCAUUCAUUGAUUUAAGGUUGGUUGAAAUCUAAGAGGUCUCUGGAAGUUAUCUUACUCACUUCAGAAGAACCUACAUGCUUUGGAAUCAGCUGCUUGGGAAGAUUAGUAAUAAACAUCACUUCUUUCUUUUCUUGUACUAAAUAGAUGUCAGUACCAUUGUUUUUGUCAUUACUCUUCUGAAAAUUUUCAUUACUAGAUCCAACAUGUUUAACUAUAAGAUUACAAUGAAUUACAGCAAUCAUUGAUUCAUUAGGUCUAUCCCCUACAGAUCUUCUUAUGCGAAGAGAGGUCUGUAACCAGCUCAUAAAUCUCGAAUACGAUUGUUCAAUUUGUAAAUCUAAGUGGAGAAGCUCAUCUAGUAUCCCUGUAGGUUUUUCUUUUCCUAAUAUCAUAUGUACAUAUUUUUUUGCAGCAAAAGAUAACUGUGAGUGUGCGGAUGAGCUGUUGCAAAUGCAGGACCAAAGCCAUGAAGAUUGUUGCAGUUGAAUCAGACACUCCCUAUAGUAACUAGGAGAUCAAUGCAGUACAGGAUGAGUGGACCGAAUUUGUGGAGCCUUUGAUUAUAGAUUAAGUACAAGGUUACUACUUUUGUUAUAAUACAUGAGUAACAAGUUUUAUGAUUAUUGUUAUAUUUUGCAUAUGUAAUUAGUUUAUAUUUAGUUUACGAUAUACAUGGAAUUUAAGUUUUAGGAUCGAUUUUAUUAACAAUUUUAGUAUUAUGUGAUUAGUUAAUAGAAUCGAUUACUAAUUUUAUGUAAGUUUUAUAAAUGUUAUUUUAAUUUUUUUU